rnacentral:rRNA from 1 species
GACGAACGCUGGCGGCGUGCUUAACACAUGCAAGUCGAACGGAAAGGCCCUGCUUUUGUGGGGUGCUCGAGUGGCGAACGGGUGAGUAACACGUGAGUAACCUGCCCUUGACUUUGGGAUAACUUCAGGCAACUGGGGCUCAUACCGGAUAGGAGCUCCUGCUGCUUGGUGGGGGUUGGAAAGUUUCGGCGGUUGGGGAUGGACUCGCGGCUUAUCAGCUUGUUGGUGGGGUAGUGGCUUACCAAGGCUUUGACGGGUAGCCGGCCUGAGAGGGUGACCGGCCACAUUGGGACUGAGAUACGGCCCAGACUCCAACGGGAGGCAGCAGUGGGGAAUAUUGCAUAAUGGGCGGAAGCCUGAUGCAGCAACGCCGCGUGCGGGAUGACGGCAUGCGGUUAGUAAACCGCUUUCGCCUGUGACGAAGCGUGAGUGACGGUAAUGGGUAAAGAAGCACCGGCUAACUACGUG